rnacentral:rRNA from 1 species
UACGUAGGCAGCGAGCGUUGUUCGGAAUUACUGGGCGUAAAGAGUGUGUAGGCGGUGCUCUAAGUUCGGUGUGAAAUCUCUCGGCUUAACUGGGAGGGUGCGCCGGAAACUGGAGCGCUCGAACGUGGGAGAGGAAAGCGGAAUUCCUGGUGUAGCGGUGAAAUGCGUAGAUAUCAGGAGGAACACCUGCGGUGUAGACGGCUUUCUGGACCAUUGUUGACGCUGAGACACGAAAGCGUGGGUAGCAAACAGG